rnacentral:misc_RNA from 1 species
GUUUUUUUGGGAGUGCCAAGAAAAUGUUGCGAGUUGAUGGUCAAAUUCAUGUAACACAUAAAAUUGCUCCUCCAUAUGACCGUUGGGAUCUUGUUGGACUUGGAUGGAGAAACUCCUUGAUUUGUAUCGAAUGUGCUGAUUUCAAGAUUGAAAAUUACCCGGGUUACAACAAUAAAAGAGGAGCUGGUUCAAAAUGUGAUGAGCCUUUUCAUUUGGGUGAGUGCAAUACCUUCAAGUUUAUAUUCAACCCAUCUCUGAAGAAUGUGCCAAGAACAAAACACAAGAAACGCUUUUUACAUGCGCCAUCUCAGAAUCUUCAAAAUGCCCCCAACUCCAUAAGUCCUCCGUUUUACUCCUUCCAGCAGCCACUAAGUUGGACUGACA